AAAAGAACUCUGAAUAGAGAGUUAAAUAGUACGUGAAACUGCUUAGAGGUUAAGCCCGAUGAACCUGAAUAUCCAAUAUAGAGAAUUCAUCAUUAAUAUAUUAAUUAUUAUUAAUAUAAUGGUGUGCAUUUUCUCUAUAUAAUUGGACAUUGUAAUCUAUUAAUAUAUAUAAUUUAUCAUAAGAUCAUAAGCAUAUGUUUAUUUUUAUUAAUUUAGCUUUUAGCUAUUUUAUAAAAUAAUUGCUAUUGAUUUGAUAAAGUGUUGAUAGAUUUAAUCAUAUGUAUAAUGCUUAAAUUCAUUUUAUGAAUUUUAUAAUAUAGCAAUAUAUUAUAAGCAUUUAUACGAUUUACAAUGCGAAAGAUUCAGGAUACCUUCGGGAC
rnacentral:rRNA from 1 species